rnacentral:rRNA from 1 species
UGGGGAAUAUUGCACAAUGGGGGAAACCCUGAUGCAGCCAUGCCGCGUGUGUGAAGAAGGCCUUCGGGUUGUAAAGCACUUUCAGUAGGGAGGAAAGGGUAAGGUUUAAUACGCCUUAUCUGUGACGUUACCUACAGAAGAAGGACCGGCUAACUCCGUGCCAGCAGCCGCGGUAAUACGGAGGGUCCGAGCGUUAAUCGGAAUUACUGGGCGUAAAGCGUGCGCAGGCGGUUUGUUAAGCGAGAUGUGAAAGCCCUGGGCUCAACCUAGGAAUAGCAUUUCGAACUGGCGAACUAGAGUCUUGUAGAGGGGGGUAGAAUUCCAGGUGUAGCGAUGAAAUGCGUAGAGAUCUGGAGGAAUACCGGUGGCGAAGGCGGCCCCCUGGACAAAGACUGACGCUCAUGCACGAAAGCGU